rnacentral:lncRNA from 1 species
GGGGGGGCGAGUGUCUGUGGGGGGGGAGCGUCUGUGGGGUGGGGGGGUGUGUUUCACUCCACCCUUGUACUUGAUUUGAUGAAUUUAAAGUCACUAAUUAGUUAGGAACUAACCUGAAUGUAGACGUGGUGAAAGAUGGAGACUUCACCCAGAAAACCUGGAAUAUUAGACUGAUGAGGACCACAGGGUUUAAAGAUGGAGACUCAUCCUUCAUCACCGCGGUAACCGACCUGGUGUCAUUCUGCAUCUUUAAUCACUGAAACCCGAAACCAACAUCUGGGUUGAGUCACUCUGUUAAUAUAUCUGUCCUAGUUGAGUCACUCUGUUAGUACAUCUGUCCUAGUUGAGUCACACUGUUAGUACAUCUGUCCUAGUUGAGUCACUCUGUUAGUAUAUCUGUCCUAGUUGAGUCACUCUGUUAGUAUAUCUGUCCUAGUUGAGUCACUCUGUUAGUACAUCUGUCCUAGUUGGGUCACUCUGUUAGUAUAUCUGUCCUAGUUGAGUCACUCUGUUAGAACAUCUGUCCUAGUUGAGUCACUCUGUUAGUAUAUCUGUCCUAGUUGAGUCACUCUGUUAGUAUAUCUGUCCUAGUUUGGUCACUGUGUUAGUAUAUCUGUCCUAGUUGGGUCACUCUGUUAGUGAUGUUGUCAUGACUACCAGUCACACCUGUUAUUUCAUAACUUUCUUGUUCAGCUUUUAACCACCAUUGUAUAAUAAACUAUCUCACGGUUUCCUAACUUGUCCUUGUAAAGUUUGUGACCGUCUUUGAUGAUAUGAAAAAUGGGUUGUCUGUGUCUGUAUGGCCCAGAGCUUCUGACUGUGCAGGCUUUUGUCCCAGCCCAGCACUAACACAUCUGAUUUCAAAUACAAUGGCCUAAAUACCAACCAUCUCUCCAGGACUGUGGAGUUACCAGACACCAUCUCUCUCCAGGACUGUGGAGUUACCAGACACCAUCUCUCUCCAGGACUGUGGAGUUACCAGACACCAUCUCUCUCCAGGACUGUGGAGUUACCAGACACCAUCUCUCUCCAGGACUGUGGAGUUACCAGACACCAUCUCUCUCCAGGACUGUGGAGUUACCAGACACCAUCUCUCUCCAGGACUGUGGAGUUACCAGACACCAUCUCUCUCCAGGACUGUGGAGUUACCAGACACCAUCUCUCUCCAGGACUGUGGAGUUACCAGACCCAUCUCUCCAGGACUGUGGAGUUACCAGACACCAUCUCUCUCCAGGACUGUGGAGUUACCAGACACCAUCUCUCUCCAGGACUGUGGAGUUACCAGACCCAUCUCUCCAGGACUGUGGAGUUACCAGACACCAUCUCCAGGACUGUGGAGUUACCAGACCCUCUGAAUAGA